CACCCUUCACAUCUCAUAUCCGUCCUAAUCCAACUAUGCUUACAUAUAUACCUCAUCACCACCGGCCUUUAUUACAACCACCUACAACACAGUUUCCUGAACCAAGACAUCCUGUAAACCACCAGCAACAAAAAGAGAAAUUUAAUAAUCAAGAAACAAGAAUGGCUGCAAUUAAGCAAAUACAAGAAAUACCAAGACAACUAAUUGAACUUAUCAAGGAUCGUAAUACGU